rnacentral:rRNA from 1 species
ACGGAGGAUGCAAGCGUUAUCCGGAAUUAUUGGGCGUAAAGCGUACGUAGGCUGUUAGAUAAGUCUGUUGUCAAAGCGCGAGGCUCAACCUUGUAAAGGCAAUGGAAACUGUUUGACUAGAGAGAGAUAGGGGCAGGAGGAAUUCCAGGUGUAGCGGUGAAAUGCGUAGAUAUCUGGAAGAACACCAGUGGCGAAAGCGUC